AACAGGAUAGAUAGGAGGAAAAGUUAUAUUUUUUAGCGCGAAAGAAGUAGUAGUAGAUAGAAGAGUCACGAUUGAAGUUCGAAAGAUUGAAAGCUAAUAGUUCGAGAGAAAUUAAAGGAGAUAAGAUUAUUGAGUUUAAAAUUAUAGAGUAAAUUAAGUUUAUCGUAAAUUAUCUAAAUUUGCUGUUGCUCGAUUGGCAAGUGCAUUGGAUGCCGUUUAACGUUUCCGCUUGUUGAAAAUAAAAGAGAUUUGCGCACGCCCGAACGUAUUUGCGUCAACUGGAAAAUUAAAGGUUCGGAAAGUUUAGAUAAGAACGGGAAAGGACUAAAUCUUUGAGCUACACAGUAAAAAAGUGUUCGCUGCAAAAAUCUGUGUAGCGAAACAAACUAUCCGAACAUUCUCAAAGAUUUAUUCUCGGAAUGUCACGGGGAUCUGAUGAGUCCGAUAGGUUUGACUGCGGGACGUGCGAUAGACCGAAUUCGGUUCACGACAUGGUGCAGUGCGAUGGUUGCACAGUCUGGUACCAUAUGGAUUGCGCCGCAGUAUCGCCGGGAAUAUCGAGCCGAAAUUGGUUUUGUGCGAAUUGCACCUUAUUGCGAAAGAGUGCAAAGAGAGAUGAUGAUGAUCCUAUAACUGGGGACGGCGGCCAGAUCUCCUCGCCUAAAAGGGAUCCGAAGGCCAGCGAUUAUAAGAGUGGUGUGCCAUCGACUGGUGGUGGCGCAUCGAAAAAACAUUCAGUGAGCACUUCUAGCUCACGAGCUCUAGCGCAGUUAGCACUGCAGCGAUUAGAAGCGAAACAAAAGUUAGAAGAGCAAAAACUGUUGAAUCAAUUAAAAGAAUUGGAGAAGGAA